rnacentral:lncRNA from 1 species
GGUGCCAGAAGAUAUUUCAAACAAAGACCCUAAAAAUCCUAGAGAAAUCAGGCAGGACAAGAGGUGAAAGGUUUGCGGGGGACCAAACCAGAGGAAUGCGGCAGAAGAAAAAUGGAGGAGAAAGGGCACCUAGAUGGCAAGAAGAGAAACAAAAGUUUCGGGACUAACCUAGAUCGCUCUGAAGGAUGCAGAGGGGCGAGGACAGGGAUGACUCGAAGAAUGCUUAGGGC